GGCCUUGUAGCUCAAUUCGUUAGAGCGUUGGCUGUACUAAAACCUUCUCUUUGCUGGCGUGGGUUCAAAUCUCUCCGAGGCCG
rnacentral:tRNA from 1 species